rnacentral:rRNA from 1 species
UACAGAGGUCUCAAGCGUUGUUCGGAUUCAUUGGGCGUAAAGGGUGCGUAGGCGGCGCGGUAAGUCGGGUGUGAAAUCUUGGAGCUUAACUCCGAAACUGCAUUCGAUACUGCCGUGCUUGAGGACUGGAGAGGAGACUGGAAUUUACGGUGUAGCGGUGAAAUGCGUAGAGAUUAGGAAGAACACCAGUGGCGAAGGCGAUUCUCUGGACCAUAACUGACGCUGAGGCAUGAAAGCGUGGGUAGCAAACAGG